GCACGUGCAGGGGCCAGUUGAGGAAGUCGACCCGAAGGCCACGGCAGGAGCGCUUCAUUUUGUACAGAAUUUCGGCAACACGGGACCUCAAGACCCAUUGGCCACGUCCUCCAUUGCAACCGAAACGUAUCGUCUUCAGUGAAUAGCAAAUGUGGUCAAGUGAUCUUCGUGGAAGCUCGUCAGGAUGAAAUCUCUAGAACACUCCCGAGGAGGGCGUCUGAGCCAGCACUGAAGUGGUGUCACUUCAAGGAUUGUCAUCGCCCUUUCUCGGCCGGUAUCAGAGAAUACGCUGUAGAGAAAGUCCCACUUGUUCGGAAAGCGGCUUUGAGGCGAACCCUUAAUCUAAAAUGUCAGGACUACAUUCUCUCCCUUCAGGAGCCACCAGCCCUGAUUCCUUCCGUGGGAACCUGGAAGAGACCUGCCUCGGCAAGGGGGGGCCACUGAGACCCCUCUCUGAGCCCCACGGGGGCAGAGCAGGCGCGACCCUCGGCUUCAAGUCGCUGGGAGCUACAACAGCACUUUCUGCAAAACACCGCCUGUCUGCACAGCCCCGUGAGGUGUCUCAAAGGCAACUUCCCAAACGCAUGGUCAACACUGACGCCGCCGCGGGACCACAGAGCAGCCAGAUAACCUUUUAACGUUCAAGGUCUGGACACUCAACCACAACCCAAGCAAACGGCCAAAAAGAAUACCCCAAAUGGUGUUCCUGGCGCGUGGGAUUCACCUGCGAAGAACGGGAGCUUACCGCGAAUUUCAAAGGUCUGUAAGCAUCAGAAUAAAAAUGGAAUUUUUUAAA